GGAAUAUUGGUCAAUGGUCGCAAGACUGAACCAGCCAAGUAGCGUGCAGGAUGACGGCCUUACAGGUUGUAAACUGCUUUUAUGCGAGGGUAAAGUGUGUCACGUGUGGCAUAUUGCAAGUAUCGCAUGAAUAAGGACCGGCUAAUUCCGUGCCAGCAGCCGCGGUAAUACGGAAGGUCCAGGCGUUAUCCGGAUUUAUUGGGUUUAAAGGGAGCGCAGGCUGAUGAUUAAGCGUGACGUGAAAUGUAGCCGCUCAACGGCUGAACUGCGUCGCGAACUGGGUAUCUUGAGUGAGUUCGAUGUUGGCGGAAUUCGUGGUGUAGCGGUGAAAUGCUUAGAUAUCACGAAGAACUCCGAUUGCGAAGGCAGCCAACAAGGCCUUUACUGACGCUAAAGCUCGAAGGUGCGGGUAUCGAACA
rnacentral:rRNA from 1 species